CUCUCCCUCUCAGUCUUAUCUGUCUUUGUCAGUAUCUAUCUGUAGGCCUAUCUAUCUAUCUGUCGCUGGGCUCUACUCUAUGUCUAUGAGUCCAGCGCCUCCCAGGGGACCAGUAUGUCACUCAGCUCCAGGCCCAGUGAGGGGAGGUGAAAGGGGGCUGAUUGAGCUAAUUUAGCCCCUGGAUGCGAGAACAGGGAAGGCCUCACCCUCCACUAAUAGACAGACAUCAAAAUGGAGAUGAGGGAAGAGGAAAGGAGGGGGAUUAGAAAAGGAGGAAUGACUAUGAAAACCAAGCAGAGUUUUUGAUGGAUUUAUCCCUUUUUAUCCUAAGAUAUGAGGAGGAGAGGCUUUUAUGAACCGGCCAGGAGUGUUUUGUGACACACGACUUGACCAGAAAAAACUCCAGUACUCAUGGUCACCAGGAGGUUGCACACCUGAAGGCGGGAGAUUGAAGCAGACACCAAAACAUCUGACAUGGGAUAGAACGAGAUUUAGAAUACUGCCCAGAACAGAGUGCCAUAGAGAGGAGUCGUCAAUGGCCUAUUCUCCCUGGGGAACGAUGGUCCUAAGUAAAUAAGUAACCUGUGAUCUAUUUCAGACAGUAUCUCAAUUAAACACCAGUACAAGUAGUGUCCUCUAGGGUCUCUUAGUCCCAGCAGUGAUAUUUAUUCCUCUGGGUUUUAGGGGCUGAUGGGGCUGAUGGGAUUGAUGUAAAUUAGCACUUGGUCCCUGUCCAAUGGCAGGCCUCAGAAAGGUAAUAAUAAAGGCAGAGCUUUGACACACUGGGGGUCGUGUCACCGCAGUAAGAGGCCUCUCAUCUAAAAAGGUCAUGGAUGUUCAGGGACGGCUUCCACUGUGACAGACACACCGUCUAUCACUUCUCUUUCUUCACUAUUUCCUUUUUUCUCUUCCCUUCGUCCGGUGUUCUCACUCUACGUAAAUAUUUAAUAUUUUCACACCUUGUCACAUCUCUCUUAAUUCCUUCACUCCUUUUUUUCUUCCUUCCCUCUGUCCGUUGUUCUACAUAUUUAAU
rnacentral:lncRNA from 13 species